CUGGCUAAGCCACUCCAGGACCUUAAAAUGCUUCUUACGAAGCCACUCCUUCGUUGCCCGGGUGGUGUGUUUGGGAUCAUUGUCAUGCUGAAAGACCCAGCCAUGUUUCAUCUUCAAUGCCCUUGCUGAAGUUCAGGAGGUUUUCACUCUAAAUAUAACAAUACAUGGCCCCAUUCAUUCUUUCCUUUACACGGAUCAGUCGUCCUGGUCCCUUUGCAGAAAAACAGCCCCAAAGCAUGAUGUUUCCACCCCCAUGUUUCACAGUAGGUAUGGUGUUCUUUGGAUGCAACUCACCAUUCUUUCUCCUCCAAACACGACGAGUUGAGUUUUUACCAAAAAGUUACAUUUUGGUUUCAUCUGACCAUAUGACAUUCUCCCAAUCCACUUCUGGACCAUCCAAAUGCUCUCUAGCAAACCUCAGAUGGGCCUGGACAUGUACUGGCUUAAGCAGGGGGACACGUCUGGCACUGCAGGAUUUGAGUCCCUGGCGGCGUAGUGUGUUACUGAUGGUAGCCUUUGUUACUUUGGUCCCAGCUCUCUGCAGGUCAUUCAUUAGGUCCCCCUGUGUGGUUCUGGGAUUUUUGCUCACCGUUCUUGUGAUCAUUUUGACCCCACGGGCUGAGAUCUUGCAUGGAGCCCCAGAUCGAGGGAGAUUAUCAGUGGUCUUGUAUGUCUUAAAUUUUCUUAUAAUUGCUAUUGCAGAUUCAGUCUUCCCAGCCUGGUGCAGGUCUAUAAUUUUGUUUCUGGUGUCCUUUGACAGCUCUUUGGUCUUGGCCAUAGUGGAGUUUGGAGUGUGACUGUUUGAGGUUGUGGACAGGUGUCUUUUAUACUGAUAACAAGUUCAAACAGGUGCCAUUAAUACAGGUAACGAGUGGAGGACAGAGAAGCUUCUUAAAGAAGAUGUUACAGGUCUGUGAGAGCCAGAAAUCUUGCUUGACCAAAUACUUAUUUUACAGAGGAAUUUACCAAUAAAUUCAUUAAAAAUCCUACAAUGUGAUUUUUAAGUAAUUAAUUUGCAUUAACUGCAUGACAUAAGUAUUUGAUACAUCAGAAAAGCAGAACUUAAUAUUUGGUACAGAAACCUUUGUUUGCAAUUACAGAGAUCAUACGUUUCCUGUAGUUCUUGACCAGGUUUGCACACACUGCAGCAGGGAUUUUGGCCCACUCCUCUCCAGAUCCUUCAGGUUUCAGGGCUGUCGCUGGGCAAUACGGACUUUCAGCUCCCUCCAAAGAUUUUCUAUUGGGUUCAGGUCUGGAGACUGUCUAGGCCACUCCAGGACCUUGAGAUGCUUCUUACGGAGCCACUCCUUAGUUUGCCUGGCUUUGUGUUUCGGGUCGUUGUUAUGCUGGAAGACCCAGCCACGACCCAUCUUCAAUCCUCUUACUGAGGGAAGGAGGUUGUUAGUGUGUUACUAAUGGUUUUCUUUGAGACUGUGGUCCCAGCUCUCUUCAGGUCAUUGACCAGGUCCUGCUGUGUAGUUCUGGGCUGCUCCCUCACCUUCCUCAUGAUCAUUGAUGCCCCACGAGGUGAGAUCUUGCAUGGAGCCCCAGACUGAGGGAGAUUGACCGUCAUCUUGAACUUCCAUUUUGUUAUAAUUGCACAAACAGCUGUUGCCUUCUCACCAAGCUGCUUGGCUAUUGUCCUGUAGCCCAUCCCAGCCUUGUGCAGGACUACAAUUUUAUCCCUGAUGUCCUUACACAGCUCUCUGGUCUUGGCCAUUGUGGACAGGUAUCUUUUGUUACAGAUAACAAGUUCAAACAGGUGCAGUUAAUACAGGUAAUGAGUGGAGAAUGUGGAUACACUGAAUGUAUAAGCUGUCGAUCUGUUGUGAGCUUUAAAGCAAGAUAUUGAAUGUAUGUGGCAUAAGCUGAAACUGAAAGUUGCAAGUAGAAAACAGGAAAUCUUAUUUUGGUUGUUGCUGGGGUCGAAGAGCAGACUAAGCCUGUGUGUCAGACUAACAGGAAACAGAGGGGGACAGAUUAAUAACACAUACACAUAGUAUGGGCAUGGUUGGAUUUAGAAUAGACACAAGACAGAAACAACAAAGGGCAAGAUGAUGGUUGGGCUGCACAUACACACAGGAGACACAGAACCUAACAGGUCGAAGGACGCACAUGCUUGGCUGCUCCGCCCUCCGCUUUCUAGGUGUAUUCGUAGUAUAAAUAGUACUUGUGUUACGGCUGAUAUUCAGACAUUGUGGGGCGACACUCUGUCUCCAAAAGCUUUUGUAAUAAACGGAUGAUACGGAAUUGGUAAUUGACCAGACUCCUGGUGUGUUUGUUCUCCUUUCCAUCAAACCAACUCGGGGAAGUGUUAGACUUCAACAAUUUUGGGGGCUCAUCUAGGAUGGAAGAAGAAGGAAUUCGACUCGGUCCUGUUGACCUAUACGGGACUCACAGGUUCCAGCACCGGUGCAUCAUAAAGGUUUCCCAGAUUGGGAUCGGGUCUCCAUUCCCCCAGCGAAGAGAUUCGCGACCCCACCUGAGGACACCUGCUUGAGGAAAUUUGGGGGCAUUGAAUUGGACUAUGUCAAGGAGUCGCAUACAGCAUUCUGGGGUAAACAACCCGCUGCAAGAAUGCAUGACCUGUUCGGCCAGUGGAAAGGUUUGAUAAUGUCUGUUCUUUUAUCUCUUGCUACAUUUUGUGCUAUACUGGUGACUUGUGGUUGUUGUUGUAUCCCAUGCAUAAGAGGGCUCGCCAUGAGAGUGAUCUCUCCAGCCAACGAGAAGGCUCCAGGACCGCCACCAGGGAUGCUGAUGCCUCUACUGGAACAGCACGACCCGGGGGAACUGGAGCUAGGAGAAUUGGGGUGAUCUCUCUGGGGAGAAUUGGGGUGAUCAUUCUGGGGAUUGAAAAUAAAAUGGUUAUUAAAA
ensembl:lncRNA